GGCCCCCCGAGCCCGCCGGACAGCGGCACCGCGGGGACGCGGUGUCCAGUGCGGGCUGGAGCUUCGCGGGAGCGCCGUGGGUCAGAGCCUUCCUCUGAUCGCGGGCUUCGUGAGUCGGGGAAAUAAAGCGCCAGAACGUGUUUAUGCCCUUGGGGCCGAUGUGCGGGAACAGCGUGAUUAAGCCGCUCAGCUGAAGGGUCGGGCAAAUAUUCCAGCAUCCUGUGUAAAUACUUAGGGCCACGCAUCAGGGAGGGGGGUUCAGGCUCCAAAGUGAGAGUAAAUGCAAUAAGAAUUGUCACAGGCGCCCCGGCUUUUCCUAGUGGGGCUCCCACUGUCAGAGCCAGCUGGCAGCACGAGACCAGGGAACUUCACCCACUGAGUUUGGGAAGGGGGGUUGGUCUGGCUACAGCCGUUGGGGACUGUCUCCAGAGUGAUUCUCAAGAAGAGUUGUUGUACCCUGCUGUUAAAAAACAAAUCCAGAACAACUCCUGAGCUAGGACAUGCUUCUCCAGUAAAUGCCAGUGAUCAAUCCCCAGGGCUGGAGUUAAGGAAAUUACUGCUCCAAAUGGACACUGUCAGAUUCAGAGUUACUUUUCAACAGUUCUUUAAAGUGUCAUAUACAAGAUCCCACUAUUGCAACUGAGAAUUACUGAGUGCAUCUAUGCAUAUUUCCUUCAGCAAGAAGGAGACAGCUGCUGAUUAACCUUGCUUGGAACCUCUAACACAGCAGUGGCAGAAGGUGGCAGAAACUGGGCAUCAUAAGAAAAAAACAACUAUCCACUGUUGUGGAAGCUAUUCUAGAAACACGGCGUAUUUGCAAACCCUCAGUAUACAGCAGCACAUACCCUAGGUACUGAUAAGAUUUGACCUGAUGUCUUCUCUUUAAAGCAUGGUCUGUGUUUUUAUAUGUGAACGCUUUGGGCUUUUGAAGCCUUGCAGUUUCCCUCUUUAUACUAUUUAUAAAGACUACUUUUUCAUAAGGCUUUUAAAUAAACGUAGAGUAGAAGAGACACCAUGAAUUUCGCCUUGCUAUGAUGGAAACACCCUGGAGAUGCAGUUUGUCCACAGCAGGGGAUACAAUCUUUCUAACAUGGGAGAAAGUUUUUCUACAGGGGAAGUGCCCCAUCUGUGCUGGAGGGGCUGGUCUUGUGCCUGUUCAUCCUAACGCACACUUCGUACCACAAACCCAGGCCAGGGCAGCCUUGGCCAUCUUAGCCGUGAUGUGAGAAUUUGAGUAAAAAAACACAACUUAGCAACCUCCUAAGUGAUGUACCAGCCUGCUUCAGAUAUCAUUUCACAACUGGCUUUACUUUUCUGUGUAUUUAUAAAAGCAGACUUGUUUUUCCUGUACAGUGGCUUGUAUGUGUGAAUUUUUAAAUGAUUCUGAUACGGCAUUGCUGCUUUUUUUUUUUUCCUGGCCUGCGAAAGAAUGAAUGUAAUAUACAGCCAGCAUUAUGCAUGCAUGCAUUACUUCUUUUGCAAGGAAAAAUUGGUAGAAAUUAUUUCAGGUGAUUUCCAUUUAUUCUUUGAGCACUUAAAGGUGUCUGAUAUUUCUGCGGCUGGCUUACCUGUUUUUCUUGGAAUUCCCCUGCAGCUUAGCAUUAGUUAAUGUUUAACAAUUCUUGAUCGAAUGUAGUCAUUAAUUACAAGGCAAUGCCUCCCUGUGUUACAGCCCGUUUCUACCUCUCUCCAAGCCUAAUGAAGACAGUUAUCCUUUUUCAGAAGUACACAAAGAAGAUAGCACGGUGCGUGCAAACAGCUGUACUGGAAAAACAAACUGCGACAGUGAGCAUUUUUUAUCCUAUCUGCUCUAUCCUCCCCUUAGGUCUUUCUGCUGAGUUUUUAAUUUUUUUCCUCCACGUGUAAAACCUAGUCAAGAUGUUUUGUGGGACAGUAUUUAAUGCAUCUUUCUGAAGAGGACAGCAUGGUCAGACUGCAGAGUGUUGUUAACCAUGGCAAAACCUUUUUUUUCCUUUUUUUUACUUAAGGUAAAAAAAACCUUUAAUAUCAAAAGUAUUUAAAGCUGGAAAAAUAGCAAAGAAAACCUGAGAUUAGCAUUUUUUUAAAAAGUCUCUUUGUGUAACUUCUUGCUUACUCACUAAUUGAAACUUCCCAUGUUCUGGAUAUCUAAGCAGAAGGUUUAAAUCUGUAAUGUCAUUCCUUCUCUCUGCAGUUUGGUUAUUGUGUUUUCACAACAGAAAAAUAACUGUUAUUACUGAAAUGUAGAAUAAAUACAGGAUAUC
ensembl:lncRNA